AUCAACGCUGGCGGGCGUGCCUAACACAUGCAAGUCGAACGAGAAAAAGUGGAGCAAUCCAUGAGUAAAGUGGCGACCGGGGUGAGUAAACACGUGACUAACCUACCUCCGAGUGGGGAAAUAACUCCGGGAAAACCGGGGCUAAUACCGCAUAACAUCGCAAGAUCAAAGCAGCAAUGCGCUGGGAGAGGGGGGUCGCGGGCUGAUUAGCUAGUUGGCGGGGGGGUAACGGCCCACCAAGGCGAAGAUCGGUAUCCGGCCUGAGAGGGCGCACGGACACACUGGAACUGAAAACACGGUCCAGACUCCUACGGGAGGCAGCAGUGGGGAAUUUUUGCGCAAUGGGGGAAACCCUGACGCAGCAACGCCGCGUGGAGGAUGAAGCCCUUUGGGGCGUAAACUCCUUUCGACCAAGACGAUAAUGACGGUACUGGUGGAAGAAGCACCGGCUAAACUCUGUGCCAGCAGCCGCGGUAGGUAAUACAGAGGGUGCGAGCGUUUUGUUCGGAAUUAUUGGGCGUAAAGGGCGCGUAGGCGGUGCGGUAAGUCACCUGUGAAAUCUCCCGGCUUAACUGGGAGCCUGCAGGCGAAACUACCGUGCUGGAGUGUGGGAGAGGGUGCGUGGAAUUCCCGGUUGUAGCGGUGAAAUAAUGCGUAGAUAUCGGGAAGGAACACCUGUGGCGAAAAGCGGCGCACUGGACCAUAACUGACGCUGAGGCGCGAAAGCUAGGGGAGCAAACAGGAUUAGAUACCCUGGUAGUCCUAGCCCUAAACGAUGAUUGCUUGGUGUAGCAGGUACCCAAUCCUGCUGUGCCGCAGCUAACGCGAUAAGCAAUCCGCCUGGGGAGUACGGUCGCAAGGCUGAAACUCAAAGGGAAUUGACGGGGGCCCGCACAAGCGGUGGAGCAUGUGGUUCAAUUCGACGCAACGCGAAGAAACCUUACCUGGGCUCGAAAUGCAGGAGACCGGGGUGGAAACAUCCCUUCCCCUUAAAAGGCUGCUGCAUAGGUGCUGCAUGGCUGUCGUCAGCUCGUUGUCGUGAGAUGUUGGGUUAAGUCCCGCAACGAGCGCAAACCCUUAUCCCUAGUUGCCAUCGGGUCAAGCCGGGCACUCUAGUGAAACUGCCUCGGAUAACGAGGAGGAAGGUGGGGGAUGACGUCAAGUCCUCAUGGCCUUUAUGUCCAGGGCUACACACGUGCUACAAUGGUCGGUACAAAACCGUCGCAAACCCGUGAGGGGGAGCUAAUCGGAAAAAGCCGGCCCUCAGUUUCGGAUUGGAGUCUGCAACUCGACUCCAUGAAGCUGGAAUCGCUAGUAAUCGCGGAUCAGAACGCCGCGGUGAAAUACGUUCCCGGGCCUUGUACACACCGCCCGUCACAUCACGAAAGUGGGCCGUACUAGAAGCAGGUGUGCUAACCGCAAGGAGGCAGCCCUCCAAGGUACAGCUCAUGAUUGGGGUG
rnacentral:rRNA from 1 species